UACAGAGGGUGCGAGCGUUAAUCGGAAUUACUGGGCGUAAAGGGCGCGUAGGUGGUUAUGUAAGAUUGAUGUGAAAUCCCUGGGCUUAACCUAGGAACUGCAUCGAUGACUGCAUAGCUGGAGUACUGUAGAGGGUAGUAGAAUUUCCGGUGUAGCGGUGAAAUGCGUAGAGAUCGGAAGGAAUACCAGUGGCGAAGGCGGCUACCUGGACAGAUACUGACACUGAAAAGCGAAAGCCAGGGGAGCAAACGGG
rnacentral:rRNA from 1 species